rnacentral:rRNA from 1 species
AACGAACGCUGGCGGCAGGCUUAACACAUGCAAGUCGAACGCACCGCAAGGUGAGUGGCAGACGGGUGAGUAACGCGUGGGAACCUUCCCUUUGGUUCAGGAUAGCUCCGGGAAACUGGAAUUAAUACUGGAUAAGAUCUACGGAUGAAAGAUUUAUCGCCGAAGGAUGGGCCCGCGUAAGAUUAGCUAGUUGGUGAGGUAAUGGCUCACCAAGGCAAUGAUCUUUAGCUGGUCUGAGAGGAUGAUCAGCCACACUGGAACUGAGACACGGUCCAGACUCCUACGGGAGGCAGCAGUGAGGAAUAUUGGACAAUGGGCGCAGCCUGAUCCAGCCAUGCCGCGUGAGUGAUGAAGGCCUUAGGGUUGUAAAACUCUUUUAGUAGGGAAAAUAAUGAUGGUACCUACAGAAAAAGCUCCGGCUAACUUCGUGCCAGCCGCCGCAGUAA